GUGUUCACAGCGGACCUUGAUUUAAUGUACUACAAUUAAGGCACGCGGUGAAUGCCA
rnacentral:pre_miRNA from 1 species